ACCACGUGAUAAUCUCUAAUUAGCUAUCGUUGCCUGCAACUUCACCUUUUAGGGGAAAAGAAAAACCGCCUCAACUCACUAAUCGAUUACCCCUCAGGCCCUCACCACCUCUCAUCUCCUGCUAAAGAAUCUCAGAUCUAAUCUCCUCUCAUUGGAAUUAUCUUGUUCGGCAUGCCAAUGGUUAUUUAUCAUCUUCUACCUUGUUGGUCUUGUGAAAGGAGUUGUGAUUAUGUUGUUCUGUGCCUGAAUUCGGUGCUUCGACAAGUUUGCAGUUGCAAUUGAGGAAAUUUUGAGCUUGGAAUGGGACUUUUAGAUGGGCUCCAUGUCCCUUCUAACAAAGUUGGUCAGCCAGGUGCCCCUCCUUCUCUGGCUCAGGGACGGCUCCGUAUGCAGUAGAAGGUGUAAUGAGGCGUAGUAGGCGGUUAGGUUUUGGCCAGUGAUUUCUGAUCCAUGUAUACAUGGGUUUGAAAUUGGCCGAGUUCCGGUCGAGGGGUUUCAACCAAUAUAGCAUUCUAAUUGUCAGGUCUAAGAUAAUGGUUGAUCAAUAACUUGUAACAGUGGUGCCGUAUAACCUCAAGAAAAUUAUGGUUGUUCCCAAUGGGAAAGAAAUGAUAGACAUUGUUCUAUCUCGAACUCAAGGUUAAACCCCAUCAGUUGUCCACAAAGGUUAUGCAAUUUCUCGUCUUAGGAAGUUUUAAAUGAGGAAAGUCAAAUGCACACAACAGAACUUUCGUGAAAAGCUUUCUGCCAUUAUUGAUGAGUUCCCUAGGCAGUUUUAAAUGAGGAAAGUCAAAUCCACCCUUUUUAUGGAGAUCUCCUCCAUGUUCUUUACUAUAAGGAUCACUACAAGCUUGCCCUUAGACAAGUGAAUACUGCAGGAAACCUGAUUUCAAAAAUCUCCAGGGAUUAUGUUAGGUUGUUGAAGUAUGGUGACUUACUCUACAGAUGUUGUAUUUCUCAAUCUAUUUUCUCAACUUGCAGACCUUGUUCGUCCAUAUUAAUGGUUUUAUCAUCUUAUAUGAUGUAGGUGGUCUAGCACAAGCUGAAGUACUAGCAAGAGUCGGCCCAUUAAUUAAGAGCAUGUGAAGCUUUAUAUCAUAGUACAUAAAAGUAAAGGGGAAAAGCAGUAGCAUCAGCUGAAAUAUCGUUCAACAUGAUAAGGAGCGACAUGAGAAUGAAGGUCAUGACACUUGCGCUUAGAAGCUACUACCACUAAUAGAUCCUAGUUUUUGUAGGAUUUAGUUCUUCGUUUUAGUAGAUACAAUUUGUGUUUUUUAUUAUGUUUUGGACUAUUUAGUUAGUAACAUAUUAGUAACAUUAUCAUGUACUAUGGAUUUUAACGCACUACGUACUUCUAGAUUUUUGUAAGUAUUUUUAAUGUUACGUUGAUCGAAGACCAAUUAUUUAAAAUUCAAGUUUCAGUUCUUGUUA